rnacentral:antisense_RNA from 1 species
GCUCUAUUCCAGAAGCAGUGUGGAGCACAAAGAAUCCCUAAUCCCUGACAUUAAGAAAGAAGAAAAAUAUUCCUAGGACGAUCCUGGAGAGCAAAGGUCAUUAGCAGUCACUUGACUUUCCUUGGAUUUCUCAACUGCAGUAGUCACACGGUCUGCUGAAAAUGAAUUCUCUUUAUUUUCAUCUGAUUUCAAGGAAUUAUGGUUUUCAGUGAUUUCUUCAUUUGGAUCUAUUUUGAGACAGAGUAAUAGCAUUAAAACCCCCUUCUGAAUUAAUAAGGUAAGAUGGGCUUAAAAUCACCCAAUUCAAUUCACUAUUGGAUUCUUUGGAGCUGUUAAUCUAUUCAGUGAAAAGAACAAGAACUUUGGAGCUCAAGAUUUAACUAUGGCUCCAUCACUGACCUUGAGCAUUUGUUGCUGAAACGCAAAGUGUGACAAGCCAAUGGAGAGAAAGAAGAGACACAGACAUGCAGAGAAAACACAGGGAAGAAGGCCACAUGGGAUGAAGGCAGAGAUGGGAAUGAUGCAGCUACAAG